rnacentral:rRNA from 1 species
AAUAUACCGGUUCUCGUUAGAUUACCGAAGUCAAGCAUCAUUGGGCGCGGUCAGUACUUGGGAGGGUGACCACCUGGGAACACCGCGUGCCGUU